rfam:Myotis lucifugus cont2.45517, whole genome shotgun sequence.
GGAGGUUCUCGGGUGAUGCACACCAGAAUCGGGCUCCCCCCCUCUGUUCUGGAUGCGUCACCCAAGAACCGCA